UAUGUUCCACGUUUAGAAUCCAAACACACUACUGUUAUUUUAUCUUAUCGCAUGAAAUAUUCCAAAUUAUGCGAAGGAAAUUGAACCCGAAGUUUUUUAUACCUAAUUUCGACUCAAACAUUUAAGUUUUUAUUAUACGAGGCUGAGAUAUUGUGACAAAAAAUAUUGUAAAUAAUAUUAUACAUAUUAGUGAGAAUUCAAUUAUUUUCUUGUUAAAUUAUACUUUCUGAUUGAAUUUUAUUGUUCUUUAUUUGAUUUUUGACCUUUAUAAUUUAUUGUUCAGAAGUUCAAAUUCGUAGUCUCACCGAUGAAACAAUUGUACAUACUUUCCUUCAUAUAUUUCAAAUCUGAUUAUCAAUCAUUAAUUCCUAAUGCUUUUUGAUGAAAACUCUUAUGGUCUAAACGAAACGAAUUGAUUUAUCUCCUUUCCAUAAUUACUAUUAUUAAAACAUAUCGACAUCAAUUAAUACUAAAACAGAGAAAGCAGAACUUUGUGCAUUAAAAUUUGUUUAUUUUGGAUAGAUUUCACAAAUUUUGGAAAAUACGAGUAAAUGCUGCAUUUUCUUUAGAUGAAUUCGACAUCCACGAAAUUUCUGUUUUAAUGUUUUUUUUGGAUCUUAGCAUUUUUCCUACCUCCUCUAUAAAUAAUAGAAAAAUUCGAAACACAUUUGUCCGAAAGGGAUUCUGUGGUUCAUCGUUAUGAAGUAUGAGAAGAAUUCAAUAAUUUUUUUUAUUUGUGAAAGGUGCAUAGCUGAAUUUCAAUACACUUUAAUGUAUCAACUUUAUAUUCAUGCAAAAUUUCAAAGGUAAUCACAAUGAUCGAUUCUGCGAUAUCGAAUUUUUUUUCAUCUUUCAAUUAUACGAUCCUCACCAAAUUUAUAUUGAACCUUCCUUCAACUCUGUUGCAUUGUAUUCAUAAAUUUCAGUUCGAACUCAAACGUAUUUUUCAUUUAUUGGGAAAAAAAAUCAUGUGGAUAUAACUCCGAAACCAAAGAACGGAUUUCGCUCUUUAAAGAAAUUGACUCACAUUCUCGAACCCUGAACCUCUUCGGACCUCUCGAUUCGGAUCUCUAAUUCCAAAUAUAGCAAGAUGAUAAGCUCGCUGUUCAAAUAGGCUGGCAAAAAAAGAAUUUAGGGUGAUACUGAAACAGUUCAGGAUCUCGAAUUUAUACCAUAAGAAUAAGAACAAUUGAUAAUAAUUUAUUUUUGGAGAGAAGAGAUAAAUAGAGCAGCAUACACUGACGUUAUAGAACGUGCUAGGGAUAACUUUGACGUUCAUAUGAACUACUUCAAAUCAGUGUAACCUGCCCUAAAGUGACCUAAUUAAAACACAGUGGCGACAAUUCGUUAGAAUUGAGCCUAAUAUGAAGAAAUUUAAAAUUGAUUACUUUCUAGUUGCAACUAGCUAUCAAAAUGGCGCAUGAGGACAUAGAACCAUAGAACUUGAGACUGAACUGAACUGAUACAUGUCAAAAUCAAUAUUAUUGGGCUUGAUAGUAACGAGCGAUCAAAUUCGUGGUCAAGAGUGCUGUGGAGAAAUAAGAGUUGAUUUUCUGUGUGGGUAGCGCUUAGCUUGCACCAUAUUCUUUCCAGAUUCGAAGUAUGUAAAAAAAUGUUCGUGAUAUGGUUCAAGCAAAGCGCUACUCGUCAGAAAAUCCACUAGAAUUUAUCCACUGCACUCUUGACAACGGUUUUGAAAUGAACGCUCGUUAUUUAAUUGUAUAAAGAACAAAUUUAUUGAACUGAGAAAUACUACAGCGACUCACCAAAAUGGGCCUUACAUUUUGAAUAAUUUUGAAAAAUCAGGUAAUCGGAGAAUGUAAACAAAAAGCCGCCAUCAGCCACUUAUUACACUAUUACUAUCAACACAUUCGAAUACGAAGAAAUGUCUGAGCAAUUAGCAGUUUUGAAGAAAUUAAAUGAAGAUUUAGAAAGAACCAUUCAAUCUGUCAAGUUGGAUAAUGAGGAGUUAAACAAAUUAAUUGCAGAUAUCAGAAACAGUGUUAACACCCUAGAAUUGCAAAAGUCUCAACUGAAAAUAAAAACUAACUCUCUUCAGAGUAAAGUUGUAGAUAUGGAAUUGAAAAUCAACAAUAGUGAACAUCAUGCAAACUAUGCGAAAGAUGAUCUUGACUCAUUGAUGAAAAAAAUAAGCGAAUUAGAAGGACAAAUUAAUGACAAAAAACAGAAUUGGAAAAACUUAAAGAGGAGCUAUAUGAAUCUCAAGAUGAACUAAUAGAAGUUACUGAAGAUCUUGAUUUAGAAGAAAAGAAAAAAGAAUAUUCAGAGAAGCAAUUGUGUGAAGAGAAAAGGCUGAGAGAAGAGGUAGAAAUUAAAUUCACUACUAUACUUACUAUAUCAUAACGAUAUAUGUGAAAUUGUAAUGUAACCAUGUUGGGGACAUGUAAAAAUUGCGUAUACUCCCUCUAUCUAUAUUUAUUACUCUAUGCUACAUGCCUACAUGUACACCUAGCAGCUGAUCGGACCAGAGAGUGCUGAUACUACUCUAUUGAAUAAACAGUCUUGUUCUAUGCGUUUUUGGCGUAGCCACAAUAAUUGUCAAAAUUGUCAUUUUCAGUUGAAAAGAUCGAUAAUUUGAGUAUGCAACAAUGUUGUUGGUUCAUAUCGUUAGAAGUUGGAUGUGUUUUUUCGGCACUUGCCUUCUUGAUUAUUUCUGUAAGUGAGAUGUUUCUGGGAAGAUUGAUCAAUCUUGUUGAAGGUGAGACAAUGAUUUAUUCAUCUGCAUUUCUGGUCGUAUUUAUUAAUAACAAAAAUAAUACUGAUCCUACCCCUUUCACUAAUCGGACCAACUUGGAUUUGAAUGAAUGGAAAUUAUUUUCAAAUUUCAUGUAAACUAACGAGGAAAAUUUGAUAUAAUCACAAUUGAUUCUUCGAAGUAAGAAAGAGACGGAAGGCUUUACGAAAUUUAAAGACCAUUGCAAGAGUUUUUGAAAGAAUCUCACUCAAUCCCAAUUCAUUAAAUAUUUUUGGAUGUUUCUUGUUGUCGCUUGGAGGUAAAAGAGGUUUAGAAUACCGUAAAAAUAUCCCCUUUCAAUAAAAAGUGACUAUAGUCUGAGCUUUUUCCUGGAAUAUUGACGAGUUUCUAAACAAAUAUUUUGUUUCAUUCAAUGUUGGCCAAUGUCAUAAUUUUUAUUUUUUCACACUUACUUGGAAUGAAUAAUGAAAAUAUAUAAUUCACGAUAACUUCACGUGUAGCACAAACCACCCAUAAUUCAGGUUAUGACCGAAUGUUCAAGUGAACCUUAAGUUUAAGUACUAGUAUCUAAAACUAUUAAAAAUAUUUUCUAAGACUCGUAUUGACUAGUGUUAUGAUGAACAUUUCGAUAAUUUCGUCUAUAAUUUUCCGAAUUUUUCAAAGAUUUCGGAGAAAAUGUUGCAACCCUCAUUUCAAAUCAGUAUAUUAUGAUUUUAGAAGGGCAAAUGAAAUUCGGGAUGAAACUUCAUAUUUUCAUCUCAAAUUCCAUUAAGUUUGUCCAGAAAAAGAUAUUUCCCAAAUUUCACUGAUAUCUAUGUGUAUACGCAAAAGAUCAAGAGUAAAAUAAGUAAUCUUAAUAAUAGGUGUAGCUAUUUAAUUAUUAAUGACGAAAAUAAAAUAUUUCUGAUAUGAAAGUCGAGAUGUGAUGUGAGCGUUCAGUGAUCAUGAUGAUUCAUCGCUCUGUUUGAUAGUUUUUUUUUAAUUCUGUGGUAAAUUCGAUUAGGUAGGUAAUACCACAUAAUACGAGAAUGAUAUUUUAUUAUUAGUGAAUACGAAAAAGUUUCCCACACUACAAUUUUUGUUCGAAACUUUCAAUAUAGUAAAGUUAUAUGUUUUUUUAAUUUCAGUCGAAAGAGCUGUUGUUGUUCUUCACGCCUUCGUAUUCAUGGCUGGAGCAAUUAUGCUUCUAAUUGGUAUUUUGGUUGUAAGUAUAUCUAAUUUAUUGGCUCGAUUCGAAGGAGGAUGACAAAAUAUAUUGUGUGUAUCACUAGUUAAUUUCGAUAUACACAGAGUUUUUCAUUGCAGAAACAUCAUUUCAUUAGAUUUUGUCUCAGUCAUUUCUGCCGUGAAUUUUAAUUAUAUGAUAUUAUUCUGGAUUUCAUUAUGAAGAAUUCCAGUUUUGGAUAGUACGUAAAAUAUCGAAUAAGGAAUCAAUGAAUGACAAAUUCGUGUAAUUUGGGCUGUUUCCCAUUCUUGAAGAUUCAUAUCAAAAUAUACUAGUUGAAUUCAGAAGAAAAAAUUUCAUUCAUCUAAAUCAAUAUGGAAUAUCUUGUAGCAUCCAUGAACAUCUGAAAAAAUAUACUGGGUGGUUGGCUUGCUAUGACCUCGGAAAGAAAUGAGCAAAAUUCAUGAAUCACCCUGUAUUUCGGUAACCAAGGCAGUCAGACCCAAUAAAUGGAGUAAAACUUGAACCACCUCAGUAUCCUCUAUUCACUGUUCUUGUUUUUCCGUUUACCAAUGAAACACCCUGUAUACACUUAUCUACUAAAUUUUGUGGUAAUUUAAUCUGCAUAGUUCUGCACUGAAUGUCCGAAAAAUCAAAUUUGUUUCAUAUUUUUUGGAUCGUUGAGAGUUUAGGUAUCUGAGAUAGGGGAAAUUGUAACAAAUUUUCAGUAUUUUCAUUUCAUCAUUGAAUGAGUUUGAGAUGACAGAUAAUAAGCAGAAAGAUUUUCACGAGUUUCCAUUGACCUAUACGAUAUUCCAAAAUAUAAAUUUCUGUAAUAUCAAAAAUAUAAUAUUUGAACAUAGUUUAGCAAAAUAAGGAUUUCGAUAAAAAAAUUCAUGAGGUGUGAAGAAAUUCUACUCAACAUUUUCAAAUUCUGAAGGCAGAUUAUACGUAUAAAAUUUAUUGAAAUACAAAAUGGGAAUACCCGAUUUUUGUAUUUAAAACACAAAAUACCAAAUAGUUCUUUAUUUUAAAUAAGAAGCACUGAAUAAAAAUAAAAAUAGAAAUAAAACACGUAUUUCGAAAUAUUUCAUCGAAAAAAAUAAUACCUACUUUAAAUUUUUUCUGGUGCAUUUUUUUAAAAUGAAAAUAAGUAUUUCGUAUUUCGUAUUGUGUAUUACUAUUAUUUUGAAAAUGUAACAUUUCUGUCGAAAGAAUGUGUACUGAUCAAUUAUUCUUUUGUAGACUGAUAUAGUUUGCAUAUUUCUGUUCGUUCUUUUUGGUUUUGGUGCAGUUAUUGCAAAAGUUGCUGCAGUUGUUGUUUUCAUGAUACAUGGAGAGAGAAAUGAUCUAGAAAAAGUUUGGAUAAUUAUUUACUCCUGUGUACUAUUCGUUGUCCACUUCUAUAUAAUACUUGUCGCUUGGAGUUUGGGCAAGAAACUGUGGCACCAGCAUCAUCAUAAUAUUCAAAUGUCAGUACAACACCACAGAUGGGGACACCGUCGUCACCCUCCAGUCUUAGGAGUGUGAAUCACCGAAGCCUUUGUUCAUUAUUUGACAUAAAGUAAUCAAUAGCAGAUUUAUUAAGAAAUAGUUUACUCAGGAAUGGAAAUCAUGCAUCGAAAAAGCCAUGACUCUCUUAUAAUCUUUACAUUUCUGUGAGUUAACGUUUUCCAGAAGAAAUUUUGAAGAUAUGUAGGUACAUAAGGAUGUAUAUAUUGAAGAUAUUUGAAUAUGUUUCAAGAUUCAUGAGAACUUCUAUAAUGAUGAAGCAUUCUUCAGACAAGAUCAUUCUUAGAGAACUUGUGUCGUUAAAUAUUCGAUCAAUUUCCUCUUGCAUGGAAUAACCAGGAAUUGAUUGAAUUCGACAUCUAAGUCCUUCACUACUUCCACAUUAUUUUAUUAUGUUACAUUUCUCCACUAAUGCAAGGUUCCAAAAAGAAAAUAAAUAAUAUUCAACAGCCACCAUGGAUUUUAUAUGAUUUUACAUAUUAUUAUAGAAUCUUGCAAAUUAUUAUAUAACACACGUAAUUACUACCAGAGCACUGCUUGUAGACUUGUUCAAAAAACAAAAACUGAAAGUUGGAAAACUAGGUUGACAUAGUAAAUUUCUGAAUAUCAAUGUCAACUUGCAGGUAUGUGACUUCCUAGACUACAUUGUGACCUUCAUCGAGUAAGUGUAUUUAUUUAUUAUGCAGUUCUGUACAUGGUCUUGUGGUAAGGAAAUAUUUAUCCGUAAGAUAUGAGAUGGAAUAUUGUGAGAAAUAUUGACUUUUCUGCUAUGGAAUCGAGAAUCUAUUGAUUCCACUCAUUCGUCCCAAUGGUUUCAAAGACAAUUUGGCUAUUUCUUCAAGUAAAAUACUUACUACCAAUAAUUUCAUAAAACAACGCAGCUACUGUUCAUUUUCGAAGGAAAAUCACAAGGACACAACAAUACGCCAAGGGGCUCGUCAGGGCGAUUUUUAACUCUUCAUACUCAAACAUGAAUAAGCCACGGAAAAAGUAGGUGUUUCAUCACAAAGGGAUAAGAACAUAGGACACAACGCUGCACUGAAGUAGGGCAAAUUGAAGCAAAUUUUCAAAGUAUUUAUUGAAAACAAGGAAAUAACAAAAGUGUAGAUUCACCAAAAAUCCGAAUGAAGUGUCAAAAUGAAUUCAUAUAUCUUUUUCAUGAAUUCCUUUCAGUGACAUGUUAUAUUUUCUAAAUUGAUACAUCAACCAGAUAUGAUUUUCAAGCUCCUGAAUCGGGUUUACAAUUUGUCGACUAGAAAUUUUUCAAAUUGGCUUUGUGGAUAAAUAUCAAUCAAUAAAUCGUUUUUCACCAUUCAAUGUAUGAUGGUAUAUAAGUUUGAGAGAAGGAAUCUGAUCAGGACAUUUUCUCUUCCUUAUCAUCUGGUUACAUAUAAUGAUUUAACAAGGAAGGUAAGACAGGUAAAAGCAAUGGCUCUAUUCAAGAAAAAAAAAGCGGCCAAUUUUGAUUUCAUUCGGUUGAUUUGAUAAAUUAGAAAUCAAUUUUACUUUUGAGCGUUAAGAAAACGGUGUCGCUAUGCUACUAGAUAUGUUAUAAAUAAAAUUUAUUUAAUUUUUAUAAAUAUUUUAAUUUAAGCUUCAAAUGUCCAACAUAAAGGAAUGCUAUAUAUGAUUACUUUGAGAAUAAUACAUCAAAAAUAUUUAAUAACGAUAAUGUCAAUUCUAAAAAAUUAUUAUAUUUUUGGAUUAUCGUAAUAGUGUGAUGCAUGAAUUCACCAAUCUCCGAUUAGAAUGUAUAUAAGAUUAUACAAGUUGCUGAACAUUCGAUUCUUCAGCUUCGAAGGCGUAAUUUAACAUAUUCUGAAUGGAAAAAAUUUCAAUCAUCUGAUAAAAUACUGAAAAUAUUACAGGAAAUAUUAUUUCCUUCUUCCCCAAAUAUUAGAUUUAAAUAAUUAUCAUAAUCAUGAAAAAAAUCUUCAAAUAUAUCAAAUUAAAAGAUUGAACGUGGAAUUAAGACUCGAAAAAUUUCAUUGGAAUCCUAUUGGUUCGAAAUCUUCAAUUUUUAUACCUGUUCUAUUCAAUCAUAGAAGAUCUCGAAUCAUAUAGAAAUCAUUAAUUAAACAUCAAUAUUGGAAAUUUAAUUAUUGGGAAGUACUUCUCUAACUAGGACUUGAAGGGUAGAUACUGAUUCGUUCCGAUUGAAAUCAUCAAAAUAAAAUUUCAUUACAAAAAAGAAUUUCAACUUGGAAAUUAUAAGAGCUAGAGCUUUACGGUAGGGAUUUUUGUACUUAAUUGAAAUAGAAAACUUGCUCGUUUACGUGGCAAUGCAACUAUUAACUUCAGAUUUGAAGGAAAUGCAGCAAUCGAUUCUUACGAAUUUCACAAUUUGAAUACAAAUAACUUUAACAGCUUCUUGUAUGAUUCUGGAGAUUUACCAUUGGAAAUAAAAAAAUUGAAAUACUGCAUUACUGCAAUUAAAACACAGUGGUUCGUUGCAUCCCUCUAUCUAAUGAAAUAAUGGGAAAGGAAUUCGAAAAUUAUGAAAACGGGAACAAUGAGGGAUGAGUUUUAGCUUUGAAAAAUAUAUAAUUGAGAAACAAAACAUUUUGUAAAUUUGAGGAUGGUAAAUGCGUUUUCUGAAUUAGAUAUCUCGAUUUUCACCCUUUAAAACGUUUGCAUAAUCGCUUCGCGCUGGGAAGAAAAAAGCCGUAGUUAUUAAUCGAUUUCCAUAUGAAAUUACAUGUGAAAUGCAUUAUUAGUUUCAGAGAAUCUAUGAAUUGUAUACAUUUCAAAUUUUUCCGAAGGUAGAUAUGCCAGAAGAAAUUAUUUGAAUUAUUGGUAUAUUGAAAAUAAUAUAAAAAAAUCAUUAUUACUAGGACUAAAAGAGAUAAAUAGUAACUAAGAGAUUCACCAGUAAAUAACCAGUAUAUUUAGUUAUACUUCAAUAAGUAAACCAAUAUGAAUUAUUGAAAAUGGAUGCUCCUAUCCCAUAGAAUAUAAAUAAAUUUGAAUGGAAACAUAAAAAUAUCAUGAUGGCAGGUGGUAAGGUAUUUCUUCUGAAUUCUGAAUAAAUUAUUCUCAUUCAAAAAUAUAACAAUAUAUUCAACUACAAAACUUUUUGGUAAAAAAAUUUUUAAUCGGUAUUUCAUUUCUACAUGAUUUGAAUUGUUAAUAUCUACGAAAUCUCAUAUCUAGAGACGUGGGAGAACUGUUGUUUUCUGUGUAGCUUUGUUACCAAAUGUGGUAAAAAUGUACUUACUUCCAAAUUUUUGGGUAUUUUUUUUUCGAUAAUUUUCUUGAAUUUCCUAUGGUUUUAAUGAAUCUAAUCGAAAUAUUGAAAUGGUUAUUUUAUACAGGGUGUUUCACCAUUGAUGCAACGCCCUAUUACGAUUAAACGCUGAAAUGUUUUUUCGACACAGUAUCACUAGGCUCCAUUAGAGCUAUAUUUUCAAAAUUUUUGGAAAUACUGGGAGUGUACCCCCCUGUUUCCAUUGAACUUUCUGAUUGCAUGGAAUAAGUGAACCUUAAUUUGUUGGAAGUUUCAUAUUCUUAAAAUUCACCGCCUUUGAGAUAUUUCGAUUUUCCAUAAAUUGGAUGAUCUUCAAAAAAACCUUAUUACUUCGAAAUCAAUAUAUUCGAAUGAAAUAUUGAAAGUAAAAACUAGAAGAACGGACCUAUAUAAGUACUGACUUUUUGAUCAUUGAAAACUCUUUCGGGUGUUCAAAAUGAAACACUUUAUUGACGACUUACUCGAACUAUUAUAAAUAAGUAUUUAAAUGCUGAUAAAUAAAUAGGUAUUUCAGAAGGUAUAUCAAAAUUCAGGAAAAUUCAAGGUGUCAUUUGAUUUUUGUAAUGAAAGAAAAAAGUAUGAAUUAUUUAAAAAUCAGGAAAUACGUAGCUAAUUAAAAUGAAUGAAUGUCAUAUUCUUUUAACGAAAUAAACGAAGUUGAGUGCUAUAAUUGAUAUAUUGAAAGAUAAGGGGGGGUUAGUCUUUAGAAUUUAUAAAUGGAUAAAAAAUCUCAAUUGAAAAUCAAUGGAAGAAUAUUUACAGUUUCUACUAUUGAAGAAUCUCUGUAACGAAUUUGUUUUCAAUUAAAUUAGGUGAUUAAUUGCACCAAACUAUUGCUCGUUUCGAAGGGUACUAAUGUAAGAAAUCCACAAUUUCAUUAAAAUUGGAAAAUACUGGCCUUAAGAUUUUUAUGCUGGAUUUGGUCAAAAUGGCGGUGGCAGCAGAAGAAAGGUGUGAAAUGGCUAAUCUCCAGCUUCAGGUAAGUAUCCUCAGAAAUAAAACAUUCUCCUUCGAAGAGUACGAAACAACUAUCAAUUCUAAUAAUUAUCUCCGUCGAAGUGAAACCCUACAAAUGUAGUUUAGGAAAAUUAUUCAUAUAUUUCAUGACAUUAAUUUUUCGAAGUGUGAAAACCAAAACAGAAUAUGAAACGCUUAAUCGCACUUACCUUAUUUUAAGGGUUUUUUGUACAAGAUAUCCAAGAAUUCCAUUGCUUCAAAAAAUAUCACCUAAUAGUCGGUAGGCAGUCGAUCUAGAGACUCUUCAGAUCUCGAAUGACGCCGUAAAGUGGUCACUUAUCCGCAUAAACAUUAUAAAAACUUUGUUUCGUAUAUGGACACUGCAAGCCACCUGUUGUUUUCAAUAUGAAAUACACA